GCUAAAAUGCCAAGAGAACCAACUGUUAAAGAACUCAGACAAGAAAUAAAUUCAGUAAAAACUGAAAUACAGUCCUUAAGAGAAAGGAUAGUUUUGCUAGAAGUAAAACAUGAAUCUCCAUUAAUAAUGGAACUAGCAGAAAAGGAAGAAGAACAGGAACCAAUAGAAAUAAAUAGUCUUCAGUAUGUCAACAGAAUUGAUAGGGUUAUAACUCAUAAAUGGCAUACUAAAGUAACUAUAAUUGUUCAAAAGGAGUACUUAUUUAGU
rnacentral:misc_RNA from 1 species